ensembl:rRNA 5S_rRNA 5S ribosomal RNA
ACCUACAGCCAAACUUCUCUGGUUAAGCCUGUUAUUGUCCAAGCACGAAAGCAAAGUGGUGUAAGGCCUGGGCAGUACUUGGAUGGGAGACCGCCUUGGAAUUCCAGGUGCUGUAGGAU